UACGUAGGGGGCGAGCGUUAUCCGGAAUUACUGGGCGUAAAGCGCACGCAGGCGGUUCGCCAAGUUUGGAGUGACAGUUGUCGGCUCAACCGACAAAGGACUUCAAAAACUGGUGAACUUGAGGACGAGAGAGGAACAUGGAACUCCAGGUGUAGUAGUGAAAUGCGUAGAUAUCUGGAGGAACACCAAUUGCGAAGGCAGCUCGCUGGGACGUUACUGACGCUGAGACGCGAAAGCGUGGGGAGCAAACAGG
rnacentral:rRNA from 1 species